CCUACGGGCGGCAGCAGUGAGGAAUAUUGGUCAAUGGUCGCGAGCCUGAACCAGCCAAGUAGCGUGAAGGAUGACUGCACUACGGGUUGUAAACUUCUUUUAUAAAGGAAUAAAGUGAGGCACGUGUGCCUGUUUGUAUGUACUUUAUGAAUAAGGAUCGGCUAACUCCGUGCCAGCAGCCGCGGUAAUACGGAGGAUCCGAGCGUUAUCCGGAUUUAUUGGGUUUAAAGGGAGCGCAGAUGGGUUGUUAAGUCAGGUGUGAAAGUUUGCGGCUCAACCGUAAAAUUGCAAUUGAUACUGGCAGUCUUGAGUACAGUAGAGGUAGGCGGAAUGCGUGGUGUAGCGGUGAAAUGCUUAGAUAUCGCGAAGAACUCCGAUUGCGAAGGCAGCUUGCUAAACUGCCACUGACAUUGAUGCUCGAAAGUGUGGGUAUCGAACAGGAUUAGAUACCCGAGUAGUC
rnacentral:rRNA from 1 species